UACGUAGGGUGCGAGCGUUAAUCGGAAUUACUGGGCGUAAAGCGUGCGCAGGCGGUUUUGUAAGCCAGGUGUGAAAUCCCCGGGCUCAACCUGGGAAUGGCAUUUGGGACUGCAAGGCUGGAGUGCGGCAGAGGAGACUGGAAUUCCUGGUAUAGCAGUGAAAUGCGUAGAUAUCAGGAGGAACACCGAUGGCGAAGGCAGGUCUCGUGGGCUGACAC
rnacentral:rRNA from 1 species